ACCAGCCUAGUUUAUAAUAAAAUAAAAGUUUGUCAAGCUUUAGAAACAAAUUUAUUGUGGUUGGUC
rnacentral:tRNA from 1 species